rnacentral:lncRNA from 1 species
UCCAAGAGGCUGCGGUUGGCCAUGGCCUCAGACACCACCGUAAGCCUUCGUGAGUGACCCUGCUGUUAGGGCUGGGCUAGUGGGGACUGGAUGGAGUAUGGAUUGGGUAGGACAAGGUGACACUGGGUUAAUGAAGGUCUGAGCUAGGCCUGGCUAGAUCAGGGUGAGGCAGGACAGAGAGUCUGGAAGGCUUGAGAUCUGAACUCAUAAUUCCUUUUACCCACACACGUCUUCCCGUCAAUUCCCAGGGCUGCUCUGAACCAUUUCUAUCUUUUGUACCCAUAUUUGCCUCCGUGCCUCUCUCUGCUUAUUUUCUUUCUCAUCUGUUUCUCUUCCUUUCCCUUCCCUGAAGCCUCACACAAGACUAGAUCUGCUUCUUGCUUUUGAAGACUUCCAGUCUGGGGUUGGUGGGGGGAGGAGAAGGACCCAGCCACAAUUUGGUAAGGACUAAGGCAGACAGGCAGACUUCCCAAACAGGAGGGAGUUUCAAAACCCCUUUCCCAAGGAGGGUAUGAUAAUACAUGUCUGCAGUCCCAGCACUCAAAGGCAGGAGGAUUACACUGAGUUUGAGCCCAUUCUGAAAGUUUGAAAGAGGCUGUUUCAAAAUAAUAACAAAAACAAUGGAAAACAUUCUGUUCUUUCCCCAAAUUUUCAUUUGAUGAACACUAGAGGAUUACUCACAAAUUUUAUAUGUUUUUAUAUAAAUACCUGCAUUGUUAGAUUUUUAUUUAUUUUUUACAUUCACUUGUUUUAAGAUUUAGUUAUUUAUAUUUUCAUUUUAUGUAUAUUGGUGUUUUGCUUGCAUGCAUGUUUGUGUGAGAGUGUCAGAUCCAAGCCGGGGCUGUGGUGGUGCACACCUUUAAUCCCAGCACUUGGGAGGCAGAGGCAGGCGGAUCUCUGAGUUCGAGGCCAGCCAGGUCUACAGAGUGAGCUCCAGGACAGCCAGGGCUACACAGAGAAACCCUGUCUUGAAAAACC